AUGAAACACUCCUACGGGAGGCAGCAGUGGGGAAUAUUGGACAAUGGGGGCAACCCUGAUCCAGCAAUUCUGUGUGCACGAGGAAGGUUUUCGGAUCGUAAAGUGCUUUCAGCAGGGGAGAAGCAAGUGACGGUACCUGCAGAAGAAGCGACGGCUAAAUACGUGCCGGCAGCCGCGGUAGUACGUAUGUCGCGAGCGUUAUCCGGAAUUAUUGGGAAUAAAGGGCAUCUAGGCGGCCAGGCAAGUCUGGGGUGAAAACUUGCGGCUCAACCGCAAGCCUGCCCUGGAAACUGCCUGGCUAGAGUGAUGGGGAGGUGGACGGAACUGCACGAGUAGAGGUGAAAUUCGUAGAUAUGUGCAGGAAUGACGAUGAUGAAGAUAGUUCACUGGACGGCAACUGACGCUGAAGAGCGAAAGCUGGGGGAGCGAACAGGAUUAGAAACCCUGGUAGUCCGAAGUUC
rnacentral:rRNA from 1 species